rnacentral:tRNA from 1 species
GUAGAUGUUAGCUCAGUGGAUAGAGCUCUUGCUUGUUAACCUCGGGGCCCGCGGUUCAAGUCCGUGUCUACU